rnacentral:tRNA from 1 species
GGGGCAGUAGCUCAGUUGGUCAGAGCAGCGGACUCAUAAUCCGACUGGUCGUGGGUUCGAGUCCCACCUUCCGAA